rnacentral:lncRNA from 1 species
CUUGGAUUCUUCUGUUGAUAUCCAAGAUUGGCGUGUCCUCCGGCCCUCCAUCUUGAGGGGGCGUGUUAGGAUAUAUUGUGUGUAUCUUUUUAUUAUUGGUAGAUAUUCUUUCAUUAUUGUACAGUCCUAUAGUUGGUAGGAUUAUGAUAUUGUACAGUCCUAUAGUUGGUAGGAUUUGGAUUUGAUACCUCUCUGUACUCUAUAUAUACUUUGUGAGCAAUACAAGAAA